rnacentral:rRNA from 1 species
AUGGCUCAGGAUGAACGCUGGCGGCGUGCAUAACACAUUCAAGUCGAACGGUGAAGUCCUCGGGAACGGAGCAGUGGCGGACGGGUGAGUAACGCGUGAGCAACCUGCCGUAUAUAGGGGGAUAACACAGGGAAACUUGUGCUAAUACCGGCAGUGACACACGGAGACCGCAUGGUAUCUGUGUCAAAGAUUUAUUGCGUGUACGAUGGGCUCGCGUAUGAUUAGACAGUUGGCAGGGUAACGGCCUACCAAAUCAACGAUCAUUAGCCGAACUGAGAGGUUGAACGGCCACAUUGGAACUGAGAAACGGUCCAGACUCCUACGGGAGGCAGCAGUGGGGAAUAUUGGGCAAUGGGCGAAAGCCUGACCCAGCGACGCCGCGUGAGGGAAGAAGGUCUUCGGAUUGUAAACCUCUUUCAGCAGGGAAGAAGGAAGUGACGGUACCUGCGGAAGAAGUCACGGCUAACUACGUGCCAGCAGCCGC